CUGGUUUCUUUGAGUUGUCUUUCUGUGUUUUCUCAUAACACAUUGAGUUUCUGCAUAACAGGUAUUUUGAAUUCUUUAUCAGUGAGAUUGCAAUAUUUCAUGCCUUUGGGCUUGGUUGCUGAAGAAUUAUCAAUUUUUUUGGUGUCAUAUUUCCUUGAUUUUUUCAUAUUUCUUUUAGUUAUGCAUUGAUACUUUCUCACGUCAAGUAUAGACAUGUCCUUAACUCUUUGCUCAUUGCCUUCAGUAGAUGGAGGAUUAUGUCCUAUGGUAUUGUUAUUAUCUGGGUUUUUGCUCUGGGUUUUGUUUUGUGAAAUUAUACCUGCUCCACUCUUCUUGCUCCCUCUUAUGACCGAAUUUUUAAGCUUUUACAUCUUGGCUAUUGGAAACCUCCCUUUUGUUUUCCAGAAGGUGGUGCUAUAGCUCAAGUUUGUGGCUUCUCUCUUGCCCAUCCACUGUGGCCUGUUUUCUGAGCAGUCUCCCUAUCUGCUGGAGCUCGCCCUGGUGGACACACUCAGGAGUGUGCACAAAGAGCCAGCUGCAGAGUGAGGGGAGGUGUUCUGGAGUCUUCCUUUGGGAAUGUUAGACUUCUGCAAGUUGUCUCUCGUGUGUGAGUGCCUGCCUGUGUCAGCACUCACCUGAUUUUUGCCCAACAGUGGUAAGAGGGGUCUAGGCAGUUUUGCUGCCUCCACUGAUUCUGCAGCAUGAAUGGAGAUGUGUCUGUCUCUUACUGGAUGCAGUGGUGGGCCAGACUCCUCUUGGGUCCCUUGAAGUAAGGUGCUGGGUCCCAAAUCAUCCCUCAAACCACUUGUCUUUGUGAAUGGAUGUCUAAUUCAUUGGUUAAAAAGGAGGACUGUCAGGGGCUGGCCCCGCGGCCGAGUGGUUAAGUUUGCGCGCUCCGCUGCAGGUGGCCCAGUGUUUUGUUGGUUCGAAUCCUGGGCGUGGACAUGGCACUGCUCAUCAAACCACGCUGAGGUGGCAUCCCACAUGCCACAACUAGAAGGCCCACAACGAAGAAUAUACAACUAUGUACCGGGGGGCUUUGGGGAGAAAAAG
rnacentral:lncRNA from 1 species